ACGGGGUGCAGCAGGCGCGAAACCUCCUCAAUGCACUAACGUGCGAAGGGGUUACCUCGAGUGCCACCUGAAGAAGGUGGCUUUUCCUUGGUCUAAAAAGCCUCGGGAAUAAGAGGGGGGCAAGACUGGUGUCAGCCGCCGCGGUAACACCAGCCCCUCGAGUGGUGGGGAUGAUUAUUUGGCCUAAAGCGUCCGUAGCCGGCCGUAUAAGUUUCCCGUUAAAUCCAACGUCUCAAGCGUUGGACUGCGGGAAAUACUGUACGGCUAGAGAGUGGGAGAGGUCAGCGGUAUUCUGGGGGUAGGGGCGAAACCCUUUGAUCCCCGGAGGACCACCAGUGGCGAAGGCUGCUGACUAGAACACGUCUGACGGUCAGGGACGAAAGCUGGGGUAGCGAACCGGAUUAGAUACCCGGGUAGUCCCAGCCGUAAACGAUGCAUGCUAGGUGUUGGGUUGGCCACGAGCCACCCCAGUGCCGCAGGGAAGCCGUUAAGCAUGCCGCCUGGGAAGUACGAUCGCAAGAUUGAAACUUAAAGGAAUGGCGGGGGAGCAC
rnacentral:rRNA from 1 species